GGACUUUAAAACUGUAUCUUCCUGUAUGUAUUAUUCUGCCCAGAAUAAUACAUUUCUGGGCAGAAAUUGAUUGUUUAACUGAUCAACAGCAGACUGAUCUGCUGGAGUCAGUCAGAGCAUUUCCAUAGAGUCACUUUGCAUCAGCAGCUCCAUGCUCCAGUGCUCUGGGAGAGUUUAUAGUCCUGACAGUUGAACACUGGAUGACUGACAGCUGUCCUUCAUCACAACAGAAGACACAGAAAUCCUCCUCAUCACAAACAUGACUUUGAUCUGCGUCCUCAUCUGGACUCUCCUCUGCUGCUGCUUCACAGAGGUCAGAGGUCAGGUCACAGUGACUCAGCAGCCUGUAACAGUGAGAGCUGAUCUGGGAGGAUCUAUCAGCAUCAACUGUAGAACCAGUCAGAAUGUUUAUGUGGACAGCAGUGGCCACCGUUUAGCCUGGUACCAACAGAAAGAUGGACAAACUCCUAAGCUCCUCAUUUAUUUUUCUGGCACUAAAGCAUCAGGGACUCCAAGUCGUUUCUCAGGCAGUGGAUCAAACUCUGACUUCACUCUGACCAUCAGUGGAGUUCAGGCUGAAGAUGCUGCAGUUUACUACUGCCAGAGUCUUCAUAACAUUGGGAGUCAGUGGCCAUUCACACAGUGAAAAACAGUCGUACAAAAACCUUCCUCAAUCAAACUGAACUGAAACUCAAGUUUCAGUGCAAUGACAGUGGCAGCUGGAAGCUGCAGUAAA